GCUCGGCCCGCUCGGCGGCCGCGCCCGGCAGAUAAACGGCGCGUGGCCCCGGCUCCUGGGUCCCGGCCUCCUGGCCCCGCCCGCCCAGGGUUGGCUGACGGGACCGAGGCGAGCUCCUCGUCCUCUCUCAACACCUGAGGAAACUGGCGGAAAAGUUUGAGAACGAAAAGUCCAAUCGUCUUUCAGCUUCCGCCCUCCCUAUGACACUCCAGCCACGGUGAGCCUUGCCUGGCCUUCCUUGGCUCUAGCAAAUCAGCCGGUGUCUCCUGCAUAUCUAAGAGCCUUCCUGCACAUGGGCUCAGGAGAGAGUCCCAGGAUGGUGUAUGCUUAUUUGCCUCACUCACUUCCAGCAUGUCCAUGUAAGCAGUGCACAGAAGUGGGGGUGUGCCCAGGCCUCAAAUGUUUGGGCUUGUCCUCCUGCCUUCAUCAUGAGAUAUGUAUACCCUGUGUGAGUCACAGUUCCACGAUGGAGAGAUGCAUGGAGCAGACCUAACCCAAGCCUAGCUGAGUUCAGCCAACCUGCGGACCCAAGAGUGAAAAGAAAGAAAUGUCUGUUGUAAGCCGUUGAGAUUUGGGGAUUAUUUGUUACACAGCAGUAUCACAGCCAAGCCUAACUAAUGUGUGUUCAUGGUUUUUUUUACUGCAUGGAACUGCUCCAGUACUCAAGUCUGAAAUACUCACUCUGAUGCAUAUCAUCAAGGAAUUGAGGUUUAGUGAGCAGUUUUUCCCCCCUCCAGACUCCUUUCCAUGACCUUUUCCUGGAGUGUGCAUCUCCUACAUUUAUAGGACAGUUAACCACAUGGAAGAAUUUUGCCUCCUCCCCAACAAGCCAUUCCACAGGUGCUCAGACCUGCCUGUCCCUGACAACGGCUGUUCUUGUCGUGGGCAGACCUCAGCUUCUUGGGGACAAUGAUGAGGCUGGAGCUCAGAGAGAUGGAGGAGCCUCUGAAGCUGCAGCAGCCGGAGCAGAACGCACAGCUGCAGAGCCCUCUGGAAAGAACAGAGAAGAGAAGUGGACGUCGCAGACCUGAACCAGGAUGUUCUCUGUGAUGUCAGUUGAUUGGAGUGUGAGGUACUGAAGAAAUUACUUUUAACCAAGUGAUGAGAAAUUUGUUCAUGAAACAUCUAUAGAAGAGCAUGGAAACCUUGUGAUGACCCUUUUCUGGUCUAUUGAAGCAACAGGGAAUGGGAGGUUUGUCCUUCUGUUUAUCUU